rnacentral:rRNA from 1 species
GUUUAUCCUGCUGGAGGAUGCGGCUAUCUGGUUUGCACUUAGACAUGCAAGUCUCUUGCUUUUCGGAGUGAGGGCGAACUGCUCAGUAACACGUAGCUAACCUACUCUUAAGUCAAGGAUAACCUCGGGAAACUGAGGCUAAUACUUGAUAGAAAAUUUUUUCUGGAAUGAGGAAUUUUUGAAACUCGAGCUUAAGAAUGGGGCUGCGGCUGAUUAGGUAGUUGUUGGUGUAAUAGACUAACAAGCCGAGGAUCAGUAAGGGCUCUUAGCGGAGAAGCCCUGAGAAGGAAUCUGAGACACUAUUCCUAGCCUUACGGGGUGCAGCAGUUAGGGAACUUUUACAAUGCUCGAAAGAGUGAUAAAGCAAGCCAGAGUGUUUCUCUUAGAGAAACUUUUUUCUGCUGUAAAAAUGCAGAAGAAUAAGGACUGGGAAAGACCGGUGCCAGCCGCCGCGGUAAUACCGGCGGUCCAAGUCGCAUCCACUUUUAUUGGGUCUAAAACAUCCGUAGCUUGUUCUGUAAGUCUCCUGUAAAAUCUUAUAUCUCAAAUAUAAGGCUGGCAAGAGAUACUACAUUACUAGAGACCGGAAGACGUAAUGAGUACGAUUGAGGUAACGGUAAUAUGUGUUAAUCUUUAUCGGACUAACAAUGGCGAAGGCACAUUACGAGUACGGAUCUGACAGUGAGGGAUGAAGGCUAGGGGCGCAAAACGGAUUAGAUACCCGUGUAGUCCUAGCAGUAAACACUGCUCACUAAACAUCGGGACCUCCUCGAGAGGUUUCGGUGCUGUAGGGAAGCCGAAGAGUGAGCUACCUGGGAAGUAUAGUCGCAGGGCCGAAACUUAAAGGAAUUGGCGGGGGAGCACUACAAUGGGUGACGCGUGCGGUUUAAUCAGAUUUUACACCGUGAACCUCACCAGGGGCGAUAGCAGAAUGAAGGUCAGUCUGAAGGAUUUACCUAACACGCUAAGAGGAGUUGCAUGGCCGACGUAAGCCUGUGUCGUGAGAUGACUUGUUAAAUCAAGUAACAGGCGAGACCCGUAUGUAUAAUUGCUACGUUAAGAGCACAUUAUACAGACUGCCUUGGUAACAAGGAGGAAGGUGCGGGCUACGUUAGGUGAGUACAGCCCGAAUCCCCUGGGCUACACGCGCGCGGCAAUGCCAUAUUCAAUGAGUUGCGACUCUGAAAAGAGAAGCUAAUCCCAUAAAGUAUGGCUUAGUUCAGAUUGAGGUUUGUAACUUAACCCCAUAAAGAUGGAAUCCAUAGUAAUCGUUUGUAAUCAACGAACGGUGAAUACGUCACGGCUCCUUGCACACACUGCCUGUCAAACCAACCGAAUUAUGUUUUGGCGAGAUCCUUCGGGAACGAACCUCGAUAUAGUAAGGUAGGUUAAGUCAACACAAGGUA